rnacentral:misc_RNA from 1 species
CUUGCAUAUUUUCUUUGCUCGAAAACAUAAGGAAAAGAAAAGAAACAAAAAAUGUGUAUAGCAUAUCUUAAAUGUUGAAUUUUCAUAGAUGUCUAACUGAAUCAUGCUUGACAUGUCUCUCUGGUAAGUUGCUUCACUAAGAGGCAAAGGGAGAGGGGAUAUCUUUGCAAAUUUUCUUUGCUUUUUUAUUUAUUGUAUUCUUUGCUUCUUCCUUUUGUUUUGUAUUAAAAGGGGAAGAAAAAUACUUUGCUUCUUCCCGUUAUAAGAGAAAGUAAUUCUGUCUUCCAAACCUUAUAUAUAUUGGCAUGAUUAAUUAUGGACUGCAUCAUCUCUCACAAAUCCCUUUAACUUUCUUCAUUUUCAUCUUG